rnacentral:rRNA from 1 species
UUUUGUUUUAAAUGUUGCCCUAAAGGCACCUGAUUCUGUCUGAUCUUGGGAGCUAAGUAGGGUCAGGUUUGGUUAGUAUUUGGAUGGGAGACUACCAACAAAUACCAGAUGUUAUAGGUU